rnacentral:rRNA from 1 species
UCGAUGGUAGGAUAGAGGCCUACCAUGGUGGUAACGGGUAACGGGGUGUUAGGGCACGACACCGGAGAGGGAGCCUGAGAAACGGCUACCACAUCCAAGGAUGGCAGCAGGCGCGCAAAUUACCCAAUCCCGACACGGGGAGGUAGUGACAAUAAAUAACAAUACGGGGUUCUUUAGGAUCUCGUAAUUGGAAUGAGUACAAUUUAAAUCUCUUAACGAGGAACAAUUGGAGGGCAAGUCUGGUGCCAGCAGCCGCGGUAAUUCCAGCUCCAAUAGCGUAUAUUAAAGUUGUUGCAGUUAAAAAGCUCGUAGUUGAAUUUCGGGGUUAGUAGGUCGGUCAUGCCUCUGGUAUGUACUGGUCUCACUGAUUCCUCCUUCCUGAUGAACCGUAAUGCCAUUAAUUUGGUGUUGCGGGGAAUUUGGACUGUUACUUUGAAAAAAUUAGAGUGUUUAAAGCAAGCUAACGCUUGAAUACAUUAGCAUGGAAUAAUGAAAUAGGACAUCCGAUUCUAUUUUGUUGGUUUCUACGAUCGAUGUAAUGAUUAAUAGGGAUAGUUGGGGGCAUUAGUAUUCAAUUGUCAGAGGUGAAAUUCUUGGAUUUAUUGAAGACUAACUACUGCGAAAGCAUUUGCCAAGGAUGUUUUCAUUAAUCAAGAACGAAAGUUAGGGGAUCGAAGACGAUCAGAUACCGUCGUAGUCUUAACCAUAAACUAUGCCGACUAGGGAUCGGAUGAUGUUAUUUUUAAUGACUCAUUCGGCGCCCUUACGGGAAACCAAAGUGUUUGGGUUC